rnacentral:rRNA from 1 species
UAUCCUACGGGGGGCAGCAGUAGGGAAUUUUCGUCAAUGGGCGCAAGCCUGAACGGGCAAUGCCGCGUGAACGAGGAAGGUCUUCGGAUCGUAAAGUUCUGUUGAAGGGGAAAAAGAGCGGAGAGAGGAAAUGAACUCCGAUUGAUAUUACCCUUCGAGGAAGUCACGGCUAACUACGUGCCAGUAGCCGCGGUAAUACGUAGGUGGCGAGCGUUAUCCGGAAUGAUUGGGCGUAAAGGGUGCGUAGGCGGCCUGCUAAGUCUGGAGUGAAAGGACCCGGCUCAACCGUUACGGGCUC